rnacentral:siRNA from 1 species
GGUUUUGGAUGCGGUUUUGGU